GAUGAAGAACGUAGCGAAAUGCGAUAAGUAAUGUGAAUUGCAGAAUUCUGUGAAUCAUCGAAUCUUUGAACGCACAUUGCGCCCGUCAGUAUUCUGGCGGGCAUGCCUGUUCGAGCGUCAUUACGCCCCUCAAGUCCCCUGUGGACUUGGUGUUGGGGAUCGGCGAGGCUGGUUUUCCAGCACAGCCGUCCCUUAAAUUAAUUGGCGGUCUCGCCGUGGCCCUCCUCUGCGCAGUAGUAAAACACUCGCAACAGGAGCCCGGCGCGGUCCACUGCCGUAAAACCCCCCAACUUUUUAUAGUUGACCUCGAAUCAGGUAGGACUACCCGCUGAACUUAAGCAUAUCAAUAAGCGGAGGA
rnacentral:misc_RNA from 1 species